rnacentral:lncRNA from 1 species
AUCCCAAAAAAAAAAGUUUGAGAAGUUUACAAACUGGAAGAAAACUGGAGGGGGCUGGGCUCGUGCAGUAGCUCACACCUGUAAUCCCAGCACUUUGGGAGGCUGAGGCAGGCGAAUCACGAGGUCAGGAGAUCAAGACCAGCCUGGCUACCAUGGUGAAACCCCGUCUCUACUAAAAAUACAAAAAAAUUAGCCGGGCGUGGUGGCAGGCGCCUGUAGUCCCAGCUACUUGAGAGGCUGAGGCAGGAGAAUGGUGUGAACCCAGGAGGCAGAGCUUGCAUGAGCCAAGAUCACAGCACUGCACUCCAGCCUGGGCGACAGAGCGAGACUCCAUCUCAAAAAAGAAAAGAAAAUUGGAGGGGGCUGUGGGGUGAAAGGGUCUGUAUGGCAAAUUGGAUGUUUCCUACUUGACUAUGCUUUACGUGGACUGGGGAGCUGAACUGGGCAUUUACUGAUUUGUGCACGGAGUUCAGAGCCAGAGCGGAAGUGCUGCCCAGAGCUUUUCGCUCUCUCAAGAUGCCGUGGAGAGUACUGGAGUUGACUGCCACCAAAGCAGUCAGGACAGGAUGAAAGAUUGUGGAUGGUAAGCGGUUUUAGAAUUCCGGUUUUAAAAUUCAGUUUAUCAUUAACAAUGAAUGAGCAGGCCAGGCGCGGUGGUUCAGGCCUGUAAUCCCAGCACUUUGGGAGGCCAAGGCGGGCGGAUCACCUGAGGUCAGGAGUUGGAGACCAGCCUGGCCAACAUAGUGAAACUCCAUCUCUACUAAAAAUACAAAAAUUAGCCAGGCAUGUUGGUGUGCGCCUGUAAUCCCAGCUACGCAGGAGGCUGAGGCAGGAGAAUCACUUGAAUUCGGGACGUGGAAGUUGCAGUGAGCCAAGAUUGCGCCAUUGCACUCCAGCCUGGGUGACAAGGGCCAAACUCUGUCUCAGAAACAAAAAACAAAAUACAAACGAAACAAUGAAUGACGAGUGAAACUGUUCAGUAAAAUAAAAUUCUUGAGCAGUAGACUAUGCCUUCUCCCCUCUGGACAGAUAAACCCACUCUUCAAGGGAAAUCAAGUUCUAAUCAGAAAGUUACUUGAUGAGUUAGGGAAUCAGAUUAUGGGGGUAGAGUCUGAGGCUGCAAGAAGCUAUGGUUUAAAAAAAAAAAAAAAAAGAGUUGGAGGCUUCCAGUCUGAUGCAGCCAGCCUGAUGUGAGGGCUGGGUCCUCUGUGAGGGGCAGCUUAAAUCCUGGAGCAGGACACCUUCUUCCUGGACAGUGCUCACACAGGCACUGGGGACUUGGCUCUUUGUUUUUCCCUUUCCUCUUUUUUUUUUUUUUUUCCAUGAUCACCUGUCUUUUAGUUUGCAGAGAAUUCCUUCCAAUG